rnacentral:piRNA from 1 species
UUAGAUUGUCUAGGAACCAAA